rnacentral:rRNA from 1 species
GAGUGGCGGACGGGUGAGGAAUACAUCGGAAUCUACUCUGUCGUGGGGGAUAACGUAGGGAAACUUACGCUAAUACCGCAUACGACCUACGGGUGAAAGCAGGGGACCUUCGGGCCUUGCGCGAUUGAAUGAGCCGAUGUCGGAUUAGCUAGUUGGCGGGGUAAAGGCCCACCAAGGCGACGAUCCGUAGCUGGUCUGAGAGGAUGAUCAGCCACACUGGAACUGAGACACGGUCCAGACUACUACGGGAGGCAGCAGUGGGGAAUAUUGGACAAUGGGCGCAAGCCUGAUCCAGCCAUACCGCGUGGGUGAAGAAGGCCUUCGGGUUGUAAAGCCCUUUUGUUGGGAAAGAAAUCCAGCUGGCUAAUACCCGGUUGGGAUGACGGUACCCAAAGAAUAAGCACCGGCUAACUUCGUGCCAGCAGCCGCGGUAAUACGAAGGGUGCAAGCGUUACUCGGAAUUACUGGGCGUAAAGCGUGCGUAGGUGGUCGUUUAAGUCCGUUGUGAAAGCCCUGGGCUCAACCUGGGAACUGCAGUGGAUACUGGGCGACUAGAAUGUGGUAGAGGGUAGCGGAAUUCCUGGUGUAGCAGUGAAAUGCGUAGAGAUCAGGAGGAACAUCCAUGGCGAAGGCAGCUACCUGGACCAACAUUGACACUGAGGCACGAAAGCGUGGGGAGC